rnacentral:misc_RNA from 1 species
GAUGAAGAACGUAGCGAAAUGCGAUAAGUAGUGUGAAUUGCAGAAUUCAGUGAAUCAUCGAAUCUUUGAACGCACAUUGCGCCUUCUAGUAUUCUGGGAGGCAUGCCUGUUUGAGCGUCAUUAAACCUCUCUCAAGUAUGAUUACUUGGAUGUGAAGGAAGAGUACCUUAAACUUAAGAAGUGUUCUCCUUUGAAAUUGAUUAGCAGAUGGUAAUGUUAUUAAAUCCCUGAUGUUGUAAGAAAUAACAGUGGUUUUGUAGACUAUUAUCUAGCUUUAAAUUAUAAUUUUUAUUAUGGUUGACCUCAAAUCAGGUAAGGAUACCCGCUGAACUUAAGCAUAUCAAUAAGCGGAGGA